UACGUAGAGUGCAAGCGUUGUCCGGAUUUAUUGGGCGUAAAGAGCGUGUAGGCGGCUAGGUAGGUCCGUUGUGAAAACUCGAGGCUCAACCUCGAGCUGUCGAUGGAAACCAUCUAGCUAGAGUCCGGAAGAGGAGAGUGGAAUUCCUGGUGUAGCGGUGAAAUGCGCAGAUAUCAGGAAGAACACCCGUGGCGAAGGCGGCUCUCUGGUACGUGACUGACGCUGAGACGCGAAAGCGUGGGGAGCAAACAGG
rnacentral:rRNA from 1 species